rnacentral:lncRNA from 1 species
CUCUCUUCAAUUUUUAUUUUAGUUGUAUUUCUAAUUAUACCUGGAUGUGUGUGAACAUUGUGUGAACACAAUGCUUCUCCAUAAUUUUCCUUUUUUAACAAUUCUCACCUCUCCUUAUUUCCUUUGCAUUUAAGGACUUGGAUCACCAACUAGAGGACAAACUCCAUAUGCUGACUGCAAACGAGUCAGACAUUCCAAUACAAACAGUGCGGAGCAGUCACGGUUCUGACAAAUCAGAUGGAUCUGAAAUCCACUUCACUCACAGCAGACUCAAUAAUAUAAGCAUUUCAGAAAGAAGCUUAUAUUAGAAUAACUUGUAGCAGUAGAAUUAGGGAACAGUUCAUGGCUCUGGGGUGGUGACAGUUUAGGACAAGUUUCCAUGUUACAUAUAACACUAUGCAGUUGCUGAAUUCCUUCCUCUAGCACAGGAAAUAUAGGCCAAACGGUUCCUGAAUUCAGACAAGGUUGAAACGUUCUACACAAACCUUCCAAAGACUACUGUGAUGUACAUCAGUGAACCACACAGAGGUGGCUAAACAAAAUUUUGGGGUUGGUAUAGAUGAUUUUCUGUCUUCACUGAAGAUGUUUUCCCUGUGCCAUUUCUCCUAAUAAUUUAAUUCAAUAGCAACACACAAGCAGUAGGUUUUGUGUACAAACAUAAUGUUAUAUAAACAGAUCAAUGUCACUGGAGAGACUGUUCCACACCACAGUAAUCCCCAUCGGUACUUUCUUUGACGCACCGCACCUGGCAAAUGCGGCCAAGAGACAGAGGUGAAGCUCGGGGCCGGGGCGGUAACUGAGGGGCGGCAGAAGAACGUGGGCCGCCACCAGGAAACCCGACCGCCAUUUUGGGCGAGGUCAAUAGCGCCACAGCGGGGCGCGGGCCCGCGCCAAGAUGGCCGCCAGCCAACGGCUGCCCGGCGGGCACCUCCCGCCGCGUCCCGGAUGCAGUCGGGAGAGAACCGGAAGUGGUUCCCUCAUGCCGGAAGUGGCGCCGUUCCGGGGUGGUGAUGGCAGCGGGCCGGCAGCGGCGGCGCGGACUGGCGAGUCCCUCCGCCUCCCGGUGCGGCGGCGCGGGCUGAGGGGAGCGGGCCGCCUGUCGCCGUUCUCCCGCUCCCUCCUUCUCCGCUGGAGGAAGGUGCAGAGCAUG